rnacentral:rRNA from 1 species
UGGCGAGCGGGUGAGUAACACGUGGGUGAUCUGCCUUGCACUUCGGGAUAAGCCUGGGAAACUGGGUCUAAUACCGGAUAGGACCAUGCUUUAGUGUGUGUGGUGGAAAGUUUUUCGGUGCAAGAUGAGCCCGCGGCCUAUCAGCUUGUUGGUGGGGUAAUGGCCUACCAAGGCGUCGACGGGUAGCCGGCCUGAGAGGGUGUACGGCCACAUUGGGACUGAGAUACGGCCCAG